AUUGAACGCUGGCGGCAUGCUUUACACAUGCAAGUCGAACGGUAACAGGCCGCAAGGUGCUGACGAGUGGCGAACGGGUGAGUAAUGCAUCGGAACGUGCCCAGUCGUGGGGGGAUAACGCAGCGAAAGCUGCGCUAAUACCGCAUACGAUCUAUGGAUGAAAGCGGGGGACCGUAAGGCCUCGCGCGAUUGGAGCGGCCGAUGUCAGAUUAGGUAGUUGGUGGGGUAAAGGCUCACCAAGCCAACGAUCUGUAGCUGGUCUGAGAGGACGACCAGCCACACUGGGACUGAGACACGGCCCAGACUCCUACGGGAGGCAGCAGUGGGGAAUUUUGGACAAUGGGCGCAAGCCUGAUCAGCAAUGCCGCGUGCA
rnacentral:rRNA from 1 species